rnacentral:sRNA from 1 species
ACUUAAUACUAGUAAUUGCUUCAGCGAACACUAUUUAAAAAGUAGGAAAAGUACGUUUUUUAAUCCAUCAGGUUCUAGGCCUUUCUUAAAACCUCUAACCAGACGCCGAUCCAAGUGUUAAUUAAGAGCGAUUUUUGCAUUUUUGUAAUUCUUAUGAAGCAUAUUUAUAUGUGACAAAGUUUACCCACAUGGCGCAUGUUGGCGUAUGUAUUUAGCUCCCUUGUCCUUGAACGACUAUAUAUAAGGAAGAGGAAUGGUAUGAAACUCUAUCACGAGCAUAUUAUUAUUUUUGUUAAAGAAUUAAAAGAUCAACAACAACAACAACCUAGAAAUGAAUAAGUGUUCCACCUUUAUGAUAUGGACAGGAUGGUUGACUUUCAUUUCCAUUUUCGUCCGAUUGGAAGCGAGAGGGGAUUUCUCUUUUUCGGAUCCAGACCAUUACCUUACAAGUGUGGUUCCAGAUGGCGAUGGAAUGUAUGACUGUUCAAACCAAAACUUUUUAAAGAGUCUGAAAGGAAACAGUCCACGUUCUUGUCUGUUUUGCUAUGUGAAAUCAGAUACUGGAAUCCGGAAUGGAACUUGUGCAAAUUUUAAAAGUGGAUGCGAUAGGAAAUGUUGUCAAGGGGUAGUACGUGCUGUUUAUGUGCCAUCCGUUUUCGAUACGUUUUCAAUUGUUACAUCCUGUGUGUGUGGUGCUUGUCCAGCAGAAUCUGAAGUAAGAGACUCGAACUCUCUAUAUUAUUGGAUUCCUCUCCUGAACUAAUCUAUCUAUGCUGAAAGUCUGAUUAAUUCAAAGCAUUUUAUGAUAAUUUUGUACAAAGUGUUAUAAAAAAGUGUAAGUAGAUAAAUUGAAAUAAAU